UUUGCAUCGACCACAUCAUCAGCUAACGAAAAGCAAAAGCAGAAAGGAAAAUCGGAAAAUCUGUGGAACUGAGCUGACUGAUUACUGCUGCCCGGAGCUAACAUGGGAAGCAUAAUUACCCGGAAAGUCGGACUUAAGUCGGGCAUAUGGAGCGCUCCAAUUGGGCCAUAAAAGUCAUCUGUCAGUCUUUAUUUACAGACCUUUGACCAAACAGCUUGUAAAUUAAACAUCAAAAGGCUUGACCGCAAGAGAAAAAGAAAGAGAAAAUUCCAAGGCUCCACCUUCUGUUCCGUCCAUUCAUCCCGACGGUCAUUUGUGUCUGAUGCUGCUGCCGUCGCUGUUUGGCAAAUUAACAACA